GAUGAAGAACGUAGCGAAAUGCGAUAAGUAAUGUGAAUUGCAGAAUUCAGUGAAUCAUCGAAUCUUUGAACGCACAUUGCGCCCGCCAGUAUUCUGGCGGGCAUGCCUGUCCGAGCGUCAUUUCAACCAUCGCGCCCAUCUGGGCUGCGGUGUUGGGGACCGGCCUGCCCCCCCGGGGCGCGCCGCCCCCCAAAUUCAGUGGCGGUCUCGCUGCAGCCUCCCUUGCGUAGUAGCACACCUCGCACCGGAGCGCAGCGCGGCCACGCCGUAAAACCCCCGACCCCCAUGAGUUUGACCUCGGAUCAGGUAGGAAUACCCGCUGAACUUAAGCAUAUCAAUAAGCGGAGGA
rnacentral:misc_RNA from 1 species